rnacentral:lncRNA from 1 species
UCUUGAUGUCACACCCAGGUUUUAGGAACCCGGGCGCGAACAUAAACAUCAGGUGUGCUGGGACCAAGUCUCACACAUAUGAUGAAUAGUGGUACAGAAACGAAUGUCACAACUUUAUUAUACAAUAGGAGAACAUAAAUAAAUAAUUACAUCGUAAGGAGACAACGAUCCAGCAACCCAAAGUUGACUGGGAGACGACGACCUAGAUCUCUCAUGAACACCUUGCUGCAUCCACCAUGCGCCUCAUCCUAUGGUAUCUGUCCUUGACCUGUGGGGAGGGGGUGUGAGACAGCAAGGGUGAGCUCACAUACGUUCAUAGCUCAACAAGUUGUGGGGAAUAAUAUGCAUGAACUCGCCAAAGGUGGGAGCUCAUGUGAAGUGUAAGGCUUACCAAAGAGGAUGGUUAAAGCUGAGCAUUGCUUUUAAAGUUGGUCAAAAUUUUAUUAGCAGUUACUAAAUGUAAGUAAAUAUCAACCAUAAUAAUAAUAGAACAAAAUUAAUAACACAUGCAAUGCAAAUGACUAAUUGAAUUUAGUUCCAUAAUUUAAUCAUGCGAGAGUCUUGAGCUACUCUUGACCGUGAGCUCGGCUAGUAUACCAGUUUUACACUCUGCAGAGGUUGUACCCUAUACCCACAAGUCGUGUAUCCCAUGUCGUUAGGGUUAGCUAGACCCUUAGACACAACCGAGGUGAAUGACUAGGGAUCCACUACGAGGCCUUUACAAAGUUCCACUAGCUUCUAAAAACCCGCUACAGUUUAUGGGAAGAGCACUUGCAGGAAUCCCUCGUCUGACCGCCAUCGCAGCAAAAUCAACCCGAGAACCUCCCUGCAUGCAACUCCCCUACUGCCCUUGCCCCUUUCGGGUAAGGUAGUCUUCCACUAGCUUUCCUAGUUAGUCAGCCAAGGGCGUCUCAUUCCACCCUUGUGGUGGCACGUGUUUCUCAAGUUAAGCUCCUUGUUCCAAUUAAAAAUAUAAUGAUCUUGACAUGAACAUAAAUAAAGUAACAGAAUAAUUGGAACAUGGACAUAAUGUAAUAUUAAUCCCCAAACCAUAUAAAGCAAUAGCAAAAACUACCCAAAUAAUUCAGGGAUAAACAAGGUAACAAGAUAAGCAGACUAGGGUGACCUAUUGGGUCCCAUAAAAAUUAAACCUAUGCAUGAAUAAAUGAUUAUAAAGAAUAUUAUUAGGUAAAAAGUGAUCAAGGGCACAACUUGUCUGUGACUUGAGAUUUCAGGUACCAGGAUGAUCUUCAGGUGACUCGUGACCUCGCGCUAGUCAUAGCAAUAAAAACAAACAUGGUAUAGACAAAAUUAACAUCAUACCAAACAUAAGAACAAACUGCAUAAUAAUAAUCUAUGCGUCGUAACGAGAUCGUGGAAACGAGAAUCACUAAAUUUGGAGUUACGAUUAAGGAGUUAUGAUUUAUAGAAAAUCUAUGUGAUUAAAAUAUUAAACUAUAUUAUAAAUUGGUUAGUGUAAAUCAUAUGAGAGGUUAUUUUAUAAAUAAUUAACUCAACAUUAGUUUUAAUUAUAACUUGACUAGAGAUCAUAUUUUAAUCAUAUUAUAAUUAUGGAUAGGUUAAAUUUGAUUUAAAAGAGUUAAUCUAGUAGACAUAGGAUAAAUAAAUAUAAAAGUAUGCGACAUGGUAUAAUUAAUAUUGUUACUGCAUAGUAAAUAUUUAUACGGAGCGAACGCAACUUGAACGGAUCAAUUCGGAAUUAAAACAUGGGAGUUAUGAAUUUCCGAAGGUUUUAUGUAUUUGAUACGGAAUUAAUUAUGAGAUAAAUUUUAAUAUGAUUUUCAUGUCAAAACAGAGACACUAUGUGAUAAACAACAUUAUUACAAAAUUAUAGGAACUGGAAUGGAUCAAUUUGGACUUAAUAUGACUUUUCUAUGAAUUAAACAAGUUCUAGCAUUUAUUUUUACUCUAAAAAGUAUUUUCCAAAUGAAUUUAUUUGAUUUUCUGAUUAUCUGGACCGAGCGCAUCAUUACCGGAGAACCCAGGGUCUAGGAUGCAAAACCUCUAAGACUCAGGGCGACUGGUGCCAGGACUGCAGGUUGUUUUCUGAAAAUCGCAGGGGCUUGUUCGCAAACAUGCCAUGGCGACAGGGUAUCAGACGAUUUCGGCCGAUGGAUCUGCCCUUGACGGCUGUGAUUAGAUUGUUAUACCACACGAACCAGUACACACCGACCGCCGCAGGAUCAAGAUCCAAUGGCACGAAAUCAGACACACCCAAGCUCGACUCACAGAUCUCCGAUCCCGGACCGACAACCAUGAUGCAACAAAGUGAAAGGGGACCUCCACAUCCAAUCAGAACCGUUCAUCAAGCGGUCAACGGAUUGGAUUCUAAUUACGCGAGUUCUAAUCCUAAGAGCAGGAUGUCCGAUCAACGGGCGAGAGAAGCCCUAGCCGAAGGGGAAUGCAGAUCUAACCAGCGUCGUUAGGUCCCUAUCUAACGACCGACGCUCAUCACCCACCUCACAACGCCGGAGUUUGGCGACGUUCCCUGCCCCACGAUGGUCGAGCUCACCAGAGCAUGCCAAACCCGACCUCGUGAGGAAGUCUGUCUCCCAAUUGAUGCUAAUCGAAAUACAAACCAUGAUGACCGUGCUCAUAGGGUUCUUACCGAAAAUUUAUGCACAGAGCCACCAGGUCCCCGGUGAAGCGAGGGUCAGCCGCAUCCAUGAAUCCGCGGUGGAGAAUCCCAGUCUCCAUGGUUGUCCAUCGCUCCCGCAACAGCCACAAAGAUGCUCCUUGAACUCCAGGGGUUGACCCUGGCCAUCCGCCGACGGUGGGGUGGCGCUGCAAGCAUGAGUCGACCGCGGCAGGUUGUGUUUCCGCGGUGCUCACAAUUAUCGGCGAGCAAUUGACCCUAGGACCGACCGCAACUCCACACGAUGAGGGUGCCAACGGUUGCGUGGACUCCGGUGAAGGACGCACGCGGGUCCGGGGACUCUCCCCCCCAAUUUGUUGAUCCCCUCAUUCUCUCACCUCGAUUUCUUUCUCUCUCUCUGAUUCCUCCCUGCAAUGGCGCACCACGAACGGAUGGACGAAGGAAGGGGAGGUCGGUCUUAUACCUCGGGCAGAAGGAGGUUGGGCGCGAGUACUUCGGAUCGCCAGGAGGGGGACCUGCCCAGCAAUCGCGCCGAUGGGAAAGAAUCGGUCGCAGGCGCGAGAGUCUGUUGAGGGAAGGUAGAUGGAGAUUCUGCGUAGCUGGCCCCACAUGGCGGUGAAACGGCACACCCAGGCGUGCACUGCAGUGACCGACAGUGCGGGACUCGCCC